ACUACGAGAGGCAGCAGUGGGGAAUAUUGCACAAUGGGGGAAACCCUGAUGCAGCGACGCCGCGUGAGUGAAGAAGUAUUUCGGUAUGUAAAGCUCUAUCAGCAGGGAAGAAAAUGACGGUACCUGAUUAAGAAGCCCCGGCUAACUACGUGCCAGCAGCCGCGGUAAUACGUAGGGGGCAAGCGUUAUCCGGAUUGACUGGGGGUAAAGGGAGCGUAGACGGUUAUGUAAGUCUGGAGGGAAAGCCCGGGGCCCAACCCCGGGACUGCUUUGGAAACUGUGUAACUGGAGUACAGGAGGGGUAGGCGGAAUUCCUGGUGUAGCGGUGAAAUGCGUAGAUAUCAGGAGGAACACCGGCGGCGAAGGCGGCCCGCUGGACUGAAACUGACGUUGAGGCUCGAAAGCGUGGGGAGCAAACAGGAUUAGAUACCCCAGUAGUC
rnacentral:rRNA from 1 species